rnacentral:rRNA from 1 species
GAUGAACGCUGGCGGCGUGCCUAAUACAUGCAAGUCGAACGAAGAUCUAGCUUGCUAGCUCUUAGUGGCGUACGGGUGAGUAAUACAUAAAUAAUCUGCCCAUAUGACUGGGAUAACUAUUGGAAACGAUAGCUAAUACCGGAUAGGUUGAUUGGAGGCAUUUCUGAUUAAUUAAAGUAGGAUUUCUACACAAAUGGAUGAGUUUAUGGAGCAUUAGUAAGUUGGUGGGGUAACGGCCUACCAAGAAGAUGAUGCGUAGCCGACCUGAGAGGGUGACCGGCCACACUGGGACUGAGACACGGCCCAGACUCCUACGGGAGGCAGCAGUAGGGAAUUUUCGGAAAUGGGCGCAAGCCUGACCGAGCAACGCCGCGUGAGUGAUUAAGGCCUUCGGGUUGUAAAGCUCUGUUGUAAGGGAAGAACAUUCAGGAUAGGAAAUGAUCUUGAACUGACGUUACCUUACCAGAAAGCCACGGCUAACUACGUGCCAGCAGCCGCCGCAG